UCACCUCUCCUCCUUAUAAACGGCAGCCCCGUUGAAGCAAGCGUCUCCAGAUUAUUAGCUAGCUUACUACUGUAACACAGAAAGAAUCGAUAGACCGAGAGCAAGUCAUGGAGAGGAAGAGCCAUGCUGCCUUGUUGGCUGCCGUCAUCGUCCUCCUCGUCGCAGCCGCGGUGGGCGAACAGUCGAUCAGUUAUAAGUCCCUAGACCAAGCCCACCAGGCGUGCCCGAAGCAUGGCACCUGCGCUCCGCGUGGAUUCUCCUACACCAGGGGCGCUAAAUGUAAAUUUUACAACGGAGAAUGUCUCGGCUAGCUAGCUAGCUACUACUCCAGUGGGCGGUGGCCAUGAUGCAUGCACGCUCAUUUAACUCUUGUGUAAGUACGUACUGCUACAUGGUGGUAACACUAGCUAGUCCUGCGUUGUUUACUGGUAUGAAUUUGUAAUCGGACACUAGCUAGUCGUAUCGGUGUGUAUGUAUGUAUGUAUCAGUAUCUCACUACUUUAUAUAGUAUGUACGUAGCCUGCAUGUUAUUUGUGCGUGAAGUUUAUUUGUUGCAUCUAUAUAUCUGUUGGAUGGUAAACAUAUUUCUCUCUUAACCUUUUAUCGGAUAUUUCUCCCUUUUCGCCUUUUAAAGUACGGAUCUGCUAAUUUACAUACGGAUGAAAAUAAUUGGCUUUCAGUCGUUUUUUGAGCCGUACGAUCUCUGUCGCGAGAUUCAUGCUCUUCUUUUCUUUCGUCGUUGCUGGCGCUGAGUUUCUUAUCGGGCCCGCUUGAAUUUUUUCAGCAGACCCGUCACUACCGCCCGCAGUCCCGCGUCGGUGUUUUUUUUUUCUUUCCUUCCUGUGUCUCUUCGUCUCGCCGCUCGAUCCCCUUUGUCUUCGAACACGCAACCCAGGAGGCGACUGUGAGGGAUAGCCAUGGCGAUUUGGAGCUCCCCCUCCUGCUGCCUCGCUCCGUCCGCCUCGUCGUCGUUUCUUCAGCCGAAGGCCUGUAACAUCUCUCCGCCCCGCAUCCACCCCACCCCCGCCCGCAUCCGCUCGUCGAUUUUGUUCGAUUUGGUUAUAGAUUAAAGUAUGCGGAGAUUCAUAAAGGCUUUUGGUAAGGGCACUUCUACUCCUUGUGUUGAAGAUUCUGAUGAUUCUGAUGGGGAUCCUUUUGUCCCCAAUGAUUUUGCUGAGGAUGAUCCUUUUCAAGCUUCGGAGGACGGUUAAAUGGAUGAUCCUGAUUUCGAGAAAGCUUUGUAUGAGUUCUACGUGUCCCAUGCAAGUGUGAUGUUGUUGUUGGGGAACGUAGCAAUAAUUCAAAAUUUUCCUACGUAUCACCAAGAUCAAUCUAUGAGAUGCUAGCAACGAGAGAGAGGGAGUGCAUCUUCAUACCCUUGAAGAUCGCUAAGCGGAAGCGUUACAAGAACACGGUUGAUGGAGUCGUACUCGCGGCGUUUCAAAUCGCGGAAGAUCCGAUCCUAGUGCCGAACGGACGGCGCCUCCGCGUUCAA